GGUUGCUUGCAAGGGCGUAUGGUGGAUGCCUUGGCAGACAGUACCGAUGAAGGACGUUUGAGGCUGCGAUAUGCCUCGGGGAGCCGCCAGCAGGGCUUUGAUCCGAGGAUUUCCGAAUGGGGGAACCCGCCGGCCGUCAUGGGCCGGCACCGCGUUCGCGCGGGGGGUACGCAGGGAAGUGAAACAUCUCAGUACCUGCAGGAAAGGAUGUUCCGUGAGUAGUGGCGAGCGAAAGCGGAUCAGGCCAAACCGCGCGCGUGUGACAGGCGCCAGCCGUUGCGCGCGUGGUGUUGAGGGAGCGUGUGUCCGGGUCCUGGCGGGCCCGGCCGGAGUGAUAAAACGGCGUGUGAGGCGAACCGGAUUGAAUGCCGGGCCGCAGAGGGUGAUGGCCCCGUAGCCGAACGCGCGUCGUCUCCGGAUCGUGUCUCCCAAGUAGCGCGGGACUCGUGGAAUCCCGUGUGAAUCCGCCCCGACCGUGGGGUAAGCCUAGAUAUACCUGUCUGACCGAUAGCGAACUAGUACCGUGAGGGAAAGGUGAAAAGCACCCCGGGAGGGGAGUGAAACAGUCUCUGAAACCGUGCGCUUACAAACCGUCGGAGCCUUUCGGGGUGACGGCGUGCCUAUCGAAAAAUGAGUCUGCGAGUCAGUGGCACGUGGCGAGCGUAACCCGUGUGGGGUACGCGUAGCGAAGGCGAGUCUCAAAAGGCGUUUGAGUCGCGUGUCCUGGACCCGAAGCGGGAUGAUCUAGCCCUGAGCAGGUUGAAGCGCGGGUAAGACCGCGUGGAGGACCGAACCCACCUGGGUUGAAAACCGGGGGGAUGACUUGGGGUUAGGGGUGAAAGGCCAAUCAAAUUCCGUGAUAGCUGGUUCUCUCCGAAAUGCAUUUAGGUGCAGCGUCGGAUCGAUUACAUCCGGGGGGUAGAGCGACUGGAUGCUUGCGGGCCCAUAUCGGGUACCAACAGCAACCAAACUCCGAAUACCCGUGAUGCGUAUCCCGGCAGUGAGUCGGCGGGGGAUAAGCUCCGUCGUCGAAAGGGAAACAGCCCAGAUCGUCGUCUAAGGUCCCCAAGCGUGUGCUAAGUGGGAAAGGAUGUGGAGUCGCAUAGACAGCCAGGAGGUUGGCUCAGAAGCAGCCACCCUUGAAAGAGUGCGUAACAGCUCACUGGUCUAGUGGUUCCGCGCCGACAAUGUAGCGGGGCUCAAGCACACCACCGAAGACGCGGCAGUAGCUUUGCUACUGGGUAGGAGAGCGUCCCAUGCGGGGCGAAGCGGCGGCGCAAGCCCGCCGUGGACCGCAUGGGAGUGAGAAUGCAGACAUGAGUAGCGAAAGACGGGUGAAGAUCCCGUCCGCUGGACGACCAAGGGUUCCAGGGCCACGUUCAUCGUCCCUGGGUGAGUCGGGUCCUAAGGCGAGGCCGACAGGCGUAGUCGAAUGGAUGAACGGGCUGAUAUUCCCGUACCGGCAGCGAACCGAAACAACCGAGGCCUGGGGCGCUAACCUCCGGGUCCGUGCCGUCUCCCCUUUCGGGGGGUCGCGGCGCGGGCGCGUUGGGAUCCCCCCUCGUAGUAGGUCAGCGCAGGAGUGACGCAUCAGGGCAGCCGGCCGCGGAGGUGGUUUUCCGUGGUCAAGCGUUCGAGCCCGUCCCGCAGGCAAAUCCGCGGGGCGUCGGGGCGAGGCGUGAUGAUGGGGGCCUUACGGCCCGAAUCCGGUGAUCCGUGGUGCCGAGAAAAGCUUCGGCGUCAGGCGCGUUGCCGCCCGUACCCCAAACCGACACUGGUGGUCAGGUAGAGAAUACCAAAGCGAUCGAGCGAAUCCUGGUCAAGGAACUCGGCAAAUUGCUCCCGUGCCUUCGGCAUAAGGGAGACCCCCUGCGGUGAUGAGCGGCGGGGGGUGGCACAGGCCAGGGGGUAGCGACUGUUUACCAAAAACACAGGAGCGUGCGAAGGCGCAAGCCGCUGUAUACGCUCUGACGCCUGCCCGGUGCCGGAAGGUUAAGAGGAUCCGUCAGCUUCUGCGAAGCGGUGAAUUCAAGCCCCGGUAAACGGCGGUGGUAACUAUAACCAUCCUAAGGUAGCGAAAUUCCUUGUCGGGUAAGUUCCGACCUGCACGAAUGGCGUAACGACUUCCCCACUGUCUCGACCAGGAGCUCGGCGAAAUUGCAGUACGAGUAAAGAUGCUCGUUAAGCGCAGAAGGACGAAAAGACCCCGGGACCUUUACUAUACCUUGGUAUUGGCAUUAGGCGCGGAUUGUGUAGCAUAGGCGGGAGGCUUCGAGGCGGGUGCGCCAGCAUCCGCGGAGCCGCAAGGUGAAAUACCGCUCUGUUCUCGUUUGAUGUCUAACCUCGAACAGUCAUCCUGUUCAGGGACAGUGCCUGGCGGGUAGUUCAACUGGGGCGGUUGCCUCCCAAAGAGUAACGGAGGCGCUCAAAGGUCCGCUCGGCCCGGUUGGCAAUCGGGUGUCGAGUGUAAUCGCACAAGCGGGCUUGACUGCGAGAUCGACGGAUCGAGCAGGGACGAAAGUCGGAGAUAGUGAUCCGGUGCCGGCGCACGGGCGCGGCAUCGCUCAACGGAUAAAAGGUACCCCGGGGAUAACAGGCUGAUCAUUCC
rnacentral:rRNA from 1 species